UGGAGUACGUGACGGAGAAGCCCGGCCUCAGCGCCGGCCAUCCCCGCCUCCCCGCGUGUAUCUUCGUUGCCAUCCGUUGCACAUGCCCACCAUGCCGGCAAAGCUUCCGCGCUACCUGCAUCAACAGAUUGACGCCUUAUUCCCGGAUUGUGUCUUGUGAUCACAAACCUGGAGACAUACAAGAUCGAUGAGAUGGAUUGGUGUUUCAUGAAGUUUACCAGGUUGGUGCUCAUGCCAUGGUGGUAUGCCAGCUGCUUGCAGCAUGCAUUAGCAAUCAACACCAGGACUCCAUAAAGACCCAAAGAAAGGCAGAGCAACAAUGAAGGUAUGUAUAUACCGAGCAUGUAGGGGCAGCCUGCAAGUUGCCGGCAUUCUUCAGGUUGCUCUUGAUGUCCACGUUGCAGAACUGUCGAACUACUUAAAUUAACAAGUUGGCAACCUUUGAAUGUGUAGAACAGUAGUGAGGAGAUUGUUGCCGAGCUUACAAACCACUAUGCCCAGCAUGCACAUAUCUGAUUUCCUCUUCUAGACUGUCCAAA